CUACGGAACUCCUACGGGAGGCAGCAGUGGGGAAUAUUGCACAAUGGGCGAAAGCCUGAUGCAGCGACGCCGCGUGAGGGAUGACGGCCUUCGGGUUGUAAACCUCUUUCAGCAGGGAAGAAGCGAAAGUGACGGUACCUGCAGAAGAAGCGCCGGCUAACUACGUGCCAGCAGCCGCGGUAAUACGUAGGGCGCAAGCGUUGUCCGGAAUUAUUGGGCGUAAAGAGCUCGUAGGCGGCUUGUCGCGUCGGUUGUGAAAGCCCGGGGCUUAACCCCGGGUCUGCAGUCGAUACGGGCAGGCUAGAGUUCGGUAGGGGAGAUCGGAAUUCCUGGUGUAGCGGUGAAAUGCGCAGAUAUCAGGAGGAACACCGGUGGCGAAGGCGGAUCUCUGGGCCGAUACUGACGCUGAGGAGCGAAAGCGUGGGGAGCGAACAGGAUUAGAUACCCGGGUAGUCCUCUUCGA
rnacentral:rRNA from 1 species